UAAUUCGAUGAUACGCGAGGAACCUUACCCGGGCUUAAAUGUAGCCGUGCAUUGGUGUGAAAACCACCAUUUCCCUCGGGACCCGCUACAAGGUGCUGCAUGGUUGUCGUCAGCUCGUGCCGUGAGGUGUCGGGUUAAGUCCCAUAACGAGCGCAACCCCUAUCUUUAGUUGCCACCAGGUAAUGCUGGGGCCUCUAAAGAAACUGCCCGCGCAAGCGGUGAGGAAGGUGGGGAUGACGUCAAAUCAGCACGGCCCUUAUGUCCGGGGCUACACACGUGCUACAAUGGCCGGUACAGUGGGCAGCUCAUGCGCGAGCAUUUGCUAAUCUCUAAAACCGGUCUCAGUCCGGAUCGGAGUCUGCAACCCGACUCCGUGAAGCUGGAUUCGCUAGUAAUCGCACAUGAGCCAUGGUGCGGUGAAUACGUUCCCGGGCCUUGUACAC
rnacentral:rRNA from 1 species